rnacentral:lncRNA from 1 species
GCAGGGUUUUUCUCCCUCUCUCUCGAAGGAGUAAGUGCCACUGCUCCGCCUUCUCCUUUUCGCAAUGUUGACGCAAUCUAUAAAUAGUGGAACAAAAGGACCAACUUCCUCGCAGCUCUGCUGAAACUGCACAAAAAAGGCAACAGGGGGGUUGUUAUUUUUUUUUCUGGUUAAACACCCGAAUUUAGGGGUAAUCUCGCUAUUGGAAGAUUUUUCUUCGCUUUCUCAUCAUACUGGCAGCGUCCUGCAACUGGCUAUUUUGCUUUACAAUGAGAAGGGUGUUUUUUCUCCUCUGACAGAUCAUUUGUUGAUGAAAUUUGCACAAAGUUGUUUUUCCAGUAUUGAAAGGUUUUGA